rnacentral:lncRNA from 1 species
CUCCCUCGUCUUGCAUACGUACACAGCCAAAAGACUAUAUUCUCUCCCUUCACUGAUCGACAUUUCUCCUUAAUGGUUCCAAAGUGGAAUUACACAAUCAAACAGUAGUCGACCACAUCAACCCUGUCAGAACGAGACCAUGGAGUGCGCCUCGACUCACUUCGGUAGCGUUAACAGUGGAUCUCAUGUAUCUAAGUACCCAAUGCACCGCCUUCCCUCUAAUUUCAGGGUGA